rnacentral:rRNA from 1 species
CAACCUGCCCAUCACUUGGGAAUAACCUUGCGAAAGUAAGACUAAUACCCAAUGAUAUCCCACGAAGGCAUCCGAAUGGGAUUAAAGAUUUAUCGGUGAUGGAUGGGGAUGCGUCUGAUUAGCUUGUUGGCGGGGUAACGGCCCACCAAGGCAACGAUCAGUAGGGGUUCUGAGAGGAAGGUCCCCCACAUUGGAACUGAGACACGGUCCAAACUCCUACGGGAGGCAGCAGUGAGGAAUAUUGGUCAAUGGGCGAGAGCCUGAACCAGCCAAGUAGCGUGCAGGAAGACGGCCCUAUGGGUUGUAAACUGCUUUUAUAAGGGAAUAAAGUGGGUCACGUGUGACUUUUUGCAUGUACCUUAUGAAUAAGGACCGGCUAAUUCCGUGCCAGCAGCCGCGGUAAUACGGAAGGUCCGGGCGUUAUCCGGAUUUAUUGGGUUUAAAGGGAGCGUAGGCCGGAGAUUAAGCGUGUUGUGAAAUGUAGAGGCUCAACCUCUGCACUGCAGCGCGAACUGGUCUUCUUGAGUACGCACAACGUGGGCGGAAUUCGUGGUGUAGCGGUGAAAUGCUUAGAUAUCACGAAGAACUCCGAUUG